rnacentral:rRNA from 1 species
AAUCUUCCGCAAUGGACGAAAGUCUGACGGAGCAACGCCGCGUGAGUGAAGAAGGUUUUCGGAUCGUAAAACUCUGUUGUCGGGGAGGAACAAGUGGGAGCCUAACUACUCUCACCUUGACGGUACCCGACCAGAAAGCCACGGCUAACUACGUGCCAGCAGCCGCGGUAAUACGUAGGUGGCAAGCGUUGUCCGGAUUUAUUGGGCGUAAAGCGAGCGCAGGUGGUUCUUUAAGUCUGAUGUGAAAGCCCACGGCUCAACCGUGGAAGGUCAUUGGAAACUGGAGAACUUGAAUGCAGAAGAGGAGAGUGGAAUUCCAUGUGUAGCGGUGAAAUGCGUAGAUAUAUGGAGGAACACCAGUGGCGAAGGCGACUCUCUGGUCUGUUAUUGACACUGAGGCUCGAAAGCGUGGGGAGCAAAC